AGUGAACGCUGGCGGUAGGCCUAGCACAUGCAAGUCGAACGGCAGCACAGUAAGAGCUUGCUCUUACGGGUGGCGAGUGGCGGACGGGUGAGGAAUACAUCGGAAUCUACUUUUUCGUGGGGGAUAACGUAGGGAAACUUACGCUAAUACCGCAUACGACCUACGGGUGAAAGCAGGGGAUCUUCGGACCUUGCGCGAUUGAAUGAGCCGAUGUCGGAUUAGCUAGUUGGCGGGGUAAAGGCCCACCAAGGCGACGAUCCGUAGCUGGUCUGAGAGGAUGGUCGGCCACACUGGAACUGAGACACGGUCCAGACUCCUACGGGAGGCAGCAGUGGGGAAUAUUGGACAAUGGGCGGAAGCCUGAUCCAGCCAUACCGCGUGGGUGAAGAAGGCCUUCGGGUUGUAAAGCCCUUUUGUUGGGAAAGAAAAGCAGCAGGUUAAUACCCCGCUGUUCUGACGGUACCCAAAGAAUAAGCACCGGCUAACUUCGUG
rnacentral:rRNA from 1 species